GUAGCGGCGAGUGANGCGGCAAAAGCUCAAAUUUGAAAUCUGGCACCUUCGGUGUCCGAGUUGUAAUUUGAAGAUUGUAACCUUGGGGUUGGCUCUUGUCUAUGUUUCUUGGAACAGGACGUCACAGAGGGUGAGAAUCCCGUGCGAUGAGAUGCCCAAUCCUAUGUAAGGUGCUUUCGAAGAGUCGAGUUGUUUGGGAAUGCAGCUCUAAGUGGGUGGUAAAUUCCAUCUAAAGCUAAAUAUUGGCGAGAGACCGAUAGCGAACAAGUACAGUGAUGGAAAGAUGAAAAGAACUUUGAAAAGAGAGUGAAAAAGUACGUGAAAUUGUUGAAAGGGAAGGGUUUGAGAUCAGACUCGAUAUUUUGUGAGCCUUGCCUUCGUGGCGGGGUGACCCGCAGCUUAUCGGGCCAGCAUCGGUUUGGGCGGUAGGAUAAUGGCGUAGGAAUGUGACUUUGCUUCGGUGAAGUGUUAUAGCCUGCGUUGAUGCUGCCUGCCUAGACCGAGGACUGCGAUUUUAUCAAGGAUGCUGGCAU
rnacentral:rRNA from 1 species